rnacentral:tRNA from 1 species
AGCGGGGUACCUUAUUUAAGAGGACUGCCGUGAUGCGGCAGGCGUGUUUACAAACCCCCGCUACC